rnacentral:misc_RNA from 1 species
ACAAACUUGGUCAUUUAGAGGAAGUAAAAGUCGUAACAAGGUCUCCGUUGGUGAACCAGCGGAGGGAUCAUUACAGGGUCUUGAACCCCCAAACCACUGUGAACUAUACCUAAACGUUGCCUCGGCGGCGCCUCGGGGCCCUCGCGCCCCCCGGUCCGCCGGCGGCCCAGCACACUGCGUCUCAAGCGUUGCAUCUCCGAGAAAAUAGACAAAUAAGUCAAAACCUUCAACAACGGAUCUCUUGGUUCUGGCAUCGAUGAAGAACGCAGC